AUUCAAUUAGUUUAAAAUAAAACAUUAAAUUGUGGAUUUAAAAAUAUAAAUUUAUAUUGGAUC
rnacentral:tRNA from 1 species